UGGCAUAUGGAAAAAAUUGUCUGGAAGAAAAUGGGUUAAAGGGCAUACUAAUAUUUGAUUAUUUUAAAGUACAAAGUAUUUGAGUGAUUAUUUUAAAUUACAAAGUAUUUGAAAAACUAUGUAUAGUGUGUGUGUGUAUUGAGUGUGGAGCUUUAACAGUCAAAAUCUGCAAUGUUCUAACCGUUAAGUGUUGAUAGAUUUGCUAAAUACUGGCAAAUGUUUAGAUAGAUUUGCUAAAUAUUUUAACUUUGCAGGCAGUCCCAACAAUAUACACUGAUAUUAGUGGCCACACUGUUAGCUCAAACCAGUACUCUGUAACGGAGCAUUUCAAGAAAUCAGAACCGGAUCAACAUGAUUCUCUCGGAGUUUUCUUCUUCUAUGACUUUUCUCCAAUUAAGGUGUGUUCUUUGUCAACAUCUAAUAUACUUGUUGAAUUCCUUGUUUUAUAUUUUUUUAUAAUUAUGUAGGUGUUGCAUAUGUUUCUGAUUAUAUAUAUAUAUGUGUGUGUAUAUUCUAUUUACUUGUGACUUCUGAUGUAUUAGUAAUUUGUUUAUAUAUGUAUGUAUAUUCUAUUUACUUGUGACUUCUGAUGUAUUAGUAAUUUGUUUAUAUAUGUA
rnacentral:misc_RNA from 1 species